UAGGGAAUCUUCCGCAAUGGGCGAAAGCCUGACGGAGCAACGCCGCGUGAGUGAUGAAGGUCUUCGGAUCGUAAAACUCUGUUAUUAGGGAAGAACAAAUGUGUAAGUAACUAUGCACGUCUUGACGGUACCUAAUCAGAAAGCCACGGCUAACUACGUGCCAGCAGCCGCGGUAAUACGUAGGUGGCAAGCGUUAUCCGGAAUUAUUGGGCGUAAAGCGCGCGUAGGCGGUUUUUUAAGUCUGAUGUGAAAGCCCACGGCUCAACCGUGGAGGGUCAUUGGAAACUGGAAAACUUGAGUGCAGAAGAGGAAAGUGGAAUUCCAUGUGUAGCGGUGAAAUGCGCAGAGAUAUGGAGGAACACCAGUGGCGAAGGCGGCUUUCUGGUCUAUAACUGACGCUGAUGUGCGAAAGCGUGGGGAUCAAACAGG
rnacentral:rRNA from 1 species